rnacentral:rRNA from 1 species
CAAUAGCGUAUAUUAAUGUUGUUGCAGUUAAAAAGCUCGUAGUUGGAUUUCUGGUGGAAGCGACCGGUCCGCCCCUCACGGGGUGUGCACUAGCGUCUGUCUUUUGCCAUCCUUGCGAAGAAGCGGUGUGGCAUUAAGUUGUCGCGCCGUCUGACUCGCAUCGUUUACUGUGAAAAAAUUAGAGUGUUUAAAGCAGGCAAUUGCUGUGAAUACAUUAGCAUGGAAUAAUAAGAUAGGACUUUGGUACUAUUUUGUUGGUUUGCAUAUCAAAGUAAUGAUUAACAGGGACAGUUGGGUUAUUCGUAUUUCGUUGUCAGAGGUGAAAUUCUUGGAUUUAUGAAAGACGAACUACUGCGAAAGCAUUUACCAAGGAUGUUUUCAUUA